CACGAACCGUGCGAACGUUAUUCGGAAUUACUGGGCUUAAAGAGUUCGUAGGCGGCGUGUUAAGUUGGGUGUGAAAUCCCUUGGCUCAACCAAGGAAUUGCGCUCAAAACUAGCAUGCUUGAGGAAGACAGGGGUAAGCGGAACUGAUGGUGGAGCGGUGAAAUGCGUAGAUAUCAUCAGGAACACCGGUGGCGAAGGCGGAUCUCUGGGCCAUUACUGACGCUGAGGAGCGAAAGCGUGGGGAGCGAACAGG
rnacentral:rRNA from 1 species